GUUGGGGAGGGGGGGAAUGGCAUGUGGGACCCACCGGGGGGGGCACCUGGUGGUGGGGGAAUUUUUAGGGUCCUAUGGGGGGGGGUCCAUCUGGGUGUGCUGGGGGUGUCUCCUGGGUCCCAUGGUGUUGGGUGGAGUGGGGGAGGGGGCUUUAUUAGGGUCUGACCCCUCUCUCUGUUUUGGGGUAAAAAACUGCGCUUUUCACCCCCGAAUGUUUUGGCUCUGAAGCCUUUUCUGCAGUGACCAUAUUGAAGUCCCUCAUUCGUUUUGUCUUGUUGUGUUUUUAGGGUCAAACUCCCAUUUUUGGCUCAUUUUAAAUGGCUGAAAUCCUCAUUUUUGAGGCUGGAAUCUCCCUUUUAAGAUCUGAAUCACGCUUCUGUGUCCAGAUCCUCAAUUUUAGGGCCCCAAACCCCAUUUUUUGUGUUCAAAAUCUUCAUCCUUAGCAUCUGAACCCUCUAUUUAUAGGCCCCAAAGCCUCAUUUUAGGGCGAAAAUCCUCAUUUUGGGGUCAAAAUCCUCAUUUUUCGGAUCCAAAGACUCAUGUUCAUGGUCUGUACCCCCGUUUUUUUAGAACCCUAUGCUUCAUUUCAUGCUUCAAAGUCUUGUGGGUUUUUUUUUUUUUUUUGCUUGUUUGUUUGCUUUUGUUUUGUGCAAACAAACAUUUUUGGGUCCAAAAUCUAAAUUUCAGAAGACCCAAUGCCUCACCAUAGAGUCAGAAUCCUCAGUUUCAGGUCCGCCCCUCGAUUUUAUGGGCCUUUUUUGGGGUCAGUUUCAUGUGGACAGUUCUAGGUAACCCAACCAGAACCCAUUUGAGACAGCAGAUGUGGGGGUUUUGUUCUAGGUAACCCAAUGGAGACCCGUCUGAGAUAGAAGAUUUGGCAGUUUGGUUCUAGGUAACCCAACCAGGACCUAUUUGAGACAGUAGAUUCAGGAUUUGGCUCUAGAUACCCCAACCAGGACCCAUUUGAGAUAACAGAUUUGGGGGUUUGGCUCUAGGUAACUACAUCAGAAUCCAUCUGAGACAGCAGAUUCGGCAGCCUGGUUCUAGGUAACCCAACCAGGAACCAUUUGAGAUGGCAGAUGUGGGGGUUCGGUUCCAGGUAACCCAACCAGGAACCAUUUGAGACAUCAGAUGUGGGGGUUUGGUUCUAGGUAACACUAUGGGGUCCCAUCUGAGACAGCAGAUGUGGGGGUUUGGUUCCAGGUAACCCAACCAGAACCCAUUUGAAACAGCAGAUUUGGGGGGUUGUUUCCAGGUAACCCAACGAGGACUCAUUUUAGUUCCAGGUUUUGGGGCUGGCCAGUCAGGAACUCGGGCUGAGACCAGAAACCAACCACAAAUACUUUGCACAAUUAAAAUAUAUUACACAAAUCCGAGAUAAUGAGAACAGGGAGAGGAUUCAGGGUCGUGAGGGGGGAGGGUGGAGGGUUGGUGGGGUUCUACCGCAGCGAUACCCGCGGGUUCAGCUCCACUCCAAUGUGUAAUCUCUGCCUAAUUCCAGUGCAAGCUGGGUGACUGAAAGGACCUUGGGGGGGAAAUAAUCAUGAUCAUAAUAAAAACAAAAAUAAACGUUAAGAUUGUAUCUAUUAAAAUAAAUAUCUAUUUUUUAAAUUAUCUGUUUUUAAAAAUUACCAAAAAAAAAAAAAAAACCACAAAAAACAAAUCUUUUGUCCCAAAGUGAUCGUUUUCUGUGCAGCAUUUCUGUGUUUUAACACAGUAUUUCGCUUUCCUUUUGUCCACAUUUUUCUCCCCCAGAAUUCCACCCUUUGACCUCUCGGAACACAAAAAAUCAUUUCUCCUUUACUGAUUUCACUCCACCUUCCACCUCUCCUCACGAAAACACCGAUUUUCCCCACCCAACAACGCCCAACGUCCCC
ensembl:lncRNA